CUAUGCCCCCACCCAAGGAGCAACCUAAUCGAUCGACUCUACGAUUUGUGGGAUCGGACGCUUCGUACAAACUUAGCCAGUAUGAAAUGGAGGCGCUUAACGCGGUUAAAGCGACGACACCGAAACUGGAUCGUAACGGCUACUACUUCUACGUGACCUCUACAGCUAAGAAGAAAAAGAUCAGUUUGAUGCAGCCGAAGCCG